rnacentral:rRNA from 1 species
CCUACGGGUGGCAGCAGUGAGGAAUAUUGGUCAAUGGGCGCGAGCCUGAACCAGCCAAGUAGCGUGAAGGAUGACUGCCCUACGGGUUGUAAACUUCUUUUAUAAAGGAAUAAAGUGAGGCACGUGUGCCUUUUUGUAUGUACUUUAUGAAUAAGGAUCGGCUAACUCCGUGCCAGCAGCCGCGGUAAUACGGAGGAUCCGAGCGUUAUCCGGAUUUAUUGGGUUUAAAGGGAGCGUAGAUGGGUUGUUAAGUCAGUUGUGAAAGUUUGCGGCUCAACCGUAAAAGAGCAAUUGAUACUGGCAGUCUUGAGUACAGUUGAGGUAGGCGGAAUGCGUGGUGUAGCGGUGAAAUGCUUAGAUAUCACGAAGAACUCCGAUUGCGAAGGCAGCUUGCUAAGCUGCCACUGACAUUGAGGCACGAAAGUGUGGGGAUCAAACAGGAUUAGAUACCCUUGUAGUC